GGCAGGCUCAGCUGGAGCCCUCAGGUGAUGCUGGGAGUCAAUAACUACAACACCUGGACCAGGGAAAGCAGCCUGGGGGAUGCCCGGGUGAAUCCUCGCUCUCGAUUCCCACUCGAGGUGUUAAUGACAGAUUAUGAGGCAUUGUGAUCUUCAAAGAUUGGCUUGAAUGAUUCUCCUGUGUUUUCCUUUCUAUGGACAGACCCUUAAUCCCCUGGAGAUCCCAAUCAGCUGAACAAAGAGGUCCAGGUUUUCUGGGAAAGCCUUAGGAUUUACUGCUGGGACAUGAUUAACAUUCUUGAGAACUUGAUUGCUUUUGACUGGAAAAACCCUGCAUUGGAAAAGAAAUGCUUCAAAGAAAGUGCUCCUUUUCCCAAGAGCUUUUGAAGGUGGGAAGAAUCACAGGCAGCUUGUUUUCUUCUUGGAAACAUUAAUA